rnacentral:lncRNA from 1 species
AGGCUCCCUUAGCUCUCUUCGCCGGCUUUUGGAUUACGGUGAGAGGAGGCUCACACAGCUCUUUGAUGCCGACUUGGAACCCAUUGGUUUGGGUGAGGUAACUAGUUUCGAGUUUGUUAGCGGUGGUUUUGGUUUACGAUGAUGUGAGUGCGGUUUACGGUUCGACUGUCCUGCGUGUCUGGUGGUCCAAAGUCGGAGGCGCUCUCGGUAAUCCGAUGAACCCUCUGGCGUGAAGACAGUUCGACGUUGAUAAACGGUUUUUGGAUGUGCGGAGGCUCUGCAAGUUAGGAGCUCCGGCUUUAAAUGGUGUCGGGGUUGAUCUCCGGCGAUGGCAUCGUUCAGGUCGAGAUAGGUUCCACGUGGUGUGCGGAAGGCUAAGAUGAAGACACGUGGUCCAAACCUAUUUCCUUGCGGCGCG